CUGUAAAGUGGGAGAGGAACAGGAGCUACCUGGAGUUUCUCUGAUUAGAUAAGAUGAUCCACCCUGAAUGAAAAGAGAAUAAAAAGGAAAGGAAAGGACGUGACUGCUACUAGGUUUCCCAAUGAUAUGCUGUUCUGUUUUGGGAUCCUAAGCAGGACACACCACUGCAUUUAGUCAACAUGUCUGGGCAUGCUCUGUCCUAGAGUCGCUUGGAGGAUGAGAUCUGGACUCUUGAAGCAUUGGUGCCUGAAGCGUUGUUUGAAGUUAAAUAGAAGUAGAAAAAGGUUGAAGAUAAUUGAUCCAAAAAUAAAGACACAUUGGCUCCUGGCAACAUCAAUCUACUUCAAAGAAGAUGAUCAGCACUGCAGAGCCUCUACAUGGAGUUUACUUUCUUUGUGGCAAAAGUUAGUCACUGGGCAAAGAAACUGCCCUCAUCUCAUUUGCUGACAAUCACUGUCCAAACUGGACCAGCAGGACACAAGAAAGGUUGAUGUAGGAACCUCAAGACUCCUUUGAAAACAUGCCUCAUCACUUCCAGCCAGAUUUAGAAAGCCCACCUGGAUCAGCUUGCUCAAUGUCAGAGCCUCCGGCAACUGAAAUAUCUGCAUAUAUUGGUGUCAAAUUCCCUUUACAUCUUGGGGCUCUGCAAAGGUUGAGAGCCAAUAUUGCAGGUACUCUCAAAACACUGGAUUUUCUGGCCUUGGGACGACAGACUCAGAUCAGUGUCCUCAUACCUCCCUCAACCAACGUUACCAACACAUUAACAUUAAUUUCCAUGAUAAUAGAAUCUCCAAGCCAAGUCUUGAGUGAAGAUCUGGAUCACACAGGGAGUUGAAAAGAUGAUUCUGGAGCAGUAACCUGCUCCUCUGGAAUGCUAUCACCGCUGGGGUUUUGUCUACAGAAAACAAAGUAAUCAUCUUUAUUCAGAGUUCAUGGGUACAUUCAGGUCCAUAAGGCAGACGAAGAAGGUCAUCUUUGCAUCAAGAUUCUAUGCAACAUGUCAUAUAACAUUGUGUGUAUGACAAGCAGAGCAGAUUCUGUUUCUGUUUGCAGAAGAGACAAGAAUGUCACUUCUUUUCCUUGUCCCGGUCAUUAGUUGUAGUCGUCUUGUGUGUCUGUUCAGUGAUUGUUGUGCCAAUUGUUGCACCCAGACUUUUACAAGAUGAGAUACCUUUCAUUUAGGAAUGCUGGAGACAGAGUUGGUCAAGUUUCUUCAUUUGACCCAGAAAAAUUGCAAAUUGUAUCAUGGUAGACUGAACCCAGUUUAUUCAGAGUCCAACUUCUGGAUGUCCUCUGGAUGGAAAACUUGCAGAACUUUCUUGAAAGUCUGUAUGCACAGUUACAAAAACUUCAUCCUUUUACAUUGGAACUGGAAAUUUUUUUUUCUCUCAGGCCCAACCCAAGAAGUCGUCUUGUUCUUGCAGAUGUGUCCCUAAGCAAAGGUCAGUUACCACCAUCCGUUUGUCUCCUUUUCAGUUUCUGGAUCAGGCUUCUCUACUUGCUUCUUACUCUGCUUCUGAGGAGCAGCCAUCCUCCUCCUUUCCAGCCCAUACAUUCCGUAACUCCUGGUGCUCAUUCUGCAAAUGGAGUACUCCAAGUCUCCACCUGCUGUGGGUAAACAGGUGAAGAGUCAGUAGACAAAACAAGACCCAAUUUAAUCAGCUCCUUUCCACAUCUCUAAUGUCAGCUCUUACUUUCUUCCUUCUGGAUCUUGGCAGUGUUUGUGUUAUUCCCUAAUAUGGGGCAUCCAACAAAGAUCUCAUGGUGCCAGGCAAUGGCUCUUUCUGAGCUGCAUCCGUAGCUCUGUCUCACUUCCCUCCAUUCAGUUACUCUAGACCUGGUACUACUAGUGCCCGUGGAGAGACAGGGACAGGCUUUUUUCACUGUGCCCACAUCGUCUCUAUUCCUCCCCACACUUAACUGUCCUUUCCUAUCAGAUCUCAAUAGCAGUCAAGGCUUCUGCUGUCUUCCAAACUGAUGCUACCAAAGGCCUCUGAUCUACCUAUAGCUGUCCACGGUCUCAACCUCAGAUUCUCUCUCCCCUGUGCCCCAGAAUCCUCCCUUUGACCUUACCUGGGUCUUGUCCACUUUAGGUGACUAUUUGGUGUCAGUAGGACAUCCAGCCAAUCCAGAACAGCCUGGAAGAUUUCCUUGUAGUGUUUUUUCAUCAGGGCCCACACAGGGAGGUAGGGGGAGUGACCAGGCUGUGACCACAGUCUUCAUAAUCUGAGUGAGUGAAGACCUCCUGGCACAGUGGUGGAAAGGCUCCAAGGACAGUCCCUCAAGACAGACAACCGUGUCCUCGUCCUUCAGAUCCUCCUCCUUCACCUGCUCCAGGAGCU